GGCGAGGAAGCCGGGAAUAGUAAGAGAAACACGUUUCUCGCUAGCCUCGGUUCUCAUGCGCCAUGGCGACCCCCGCCCAGCAGCCUCCUCAGUCUAGCGGCGGAAAGCGCAAAGCCAAAGCUCCGUAUGUGCAAGCCAAGCGGGCUCGGCGCUGCGACGGUGACGGGCCCCGGCAGUUGGAACCCGGCCUACAGGGCAUUCUCAUUACCUGCAACAUGAACGAACGCAAGUGCGUGGAGGAGGCCUACAGCCUGCUCAACGAAUACGGCGACGACAUGUAUGGGCCAGAAAAGUUGACGGACAAAGAGCAGCAGCCCUCAGGAAGUGAGGGAGAAGAUGAUGACAUGGAGGCUGCCUUGAAGAAAGAAGUUGGUGACAUUAAAGCAUCAACAGAGAUGAAGCUAAGAAGAUUCCAGUCAGUGGAGAGUGGAGGCAACAAUGUAGUAUUCAUCAGGACGCUUGGAAUAGAACCUGAGAAAUUGGUACAUCAUAUUCUCCAGGAUAUGUACAAAACCAAGAAGAAGAAGACUCGGGUUAUUCUACGUAUGUUACCCAUUUCAGGCACGUGCAAGGCUUUCUUAGAAGAUAUGAAAAAAUAUGCAGAAACAUUUUUGGAACCCUGGUUUAAAGCUCCAAACAAAGGGACAUUUUAGAUUGUAUAUAAAUCUCGAAAUAACAGUCACAUGAAUAGAGAAGUUAUCAAAGAAUUGGCAGGAAUAGUAGGCAGCCUCAAUUCGGAAAAUAAAGUGGAUCUUACCAAUCCACAGUACACGGUGGUAGUAGAAAUAAUUAAAGCUGUCUGUUGCCUGAGUGUUGUCAAAGAUUAUAUGUUGUUCAGAAAGUAUAAUCUCCAGGAGGUGGUAAAGAGUGGUAAGGACCCAUCACAACUUAACCCAAAGCAGCCAGUGCAAGGAGGAAAUGGGAAAGAAGCUAAAUUGGAAUCUGGUGACAAAUCAAAUCAACAUCACCCAGCAGAAGGAACAAACAACCAGCAGCUGGUACCAGAAAAUGAGGAACUGGGGCAGACAAAACCACGAUCUGAGACACAAGUGGUGGGUGCCUGGGUGGCUCAGUUGGUUGAGACACAAGUGGUGAAUGAGGGAGGAGCUAAACCUGAACUUGAAAGUCAAGUCACAGAAAGAUCUGAGUCAAAUGAAAAUGAUCUCUCAUAAGGAAAAAAAAUUCAUUUGGUGUUGCAGGUGGGUUUCUCAGAUGGCGUUGGUAAGAUAUUGCUAUGAUUCCAUAUAAAAUUGUGACUGAAUAAAUAUAUUGUUUUUGACCUUUGUGUGCUGCAUAAUGCUGAACUCAUAAUAGUGAACCGUUAUUGAGCAGCCCUGUUAACAGUUCUGUUGGAGAUCUUUUCAGCCCCCUAUGCCAGGGUGCAGUUAGGCCUACAUGCAUUUGGUUGAGGUAGGAGUAGUAUGGAUAAUGAUGAACACUUUCGUGGAGGGGAGGGUGGAAGGAAGAUAGUGUUGGCCUCUCCCUCCUGAUUACCUUUGCCAGAUGCCCCUUCUGUGUUGCCAUCUGACUUACGGGAGCAAACAAACUCUGUAAAAGAGAAAGUCAUAGGGAAAUUUUCAUUCUAAGGAAGGAAUUUUUAUGUGUUGCAACUCAGCUGUCCCUUCCCACUUUGUUGUAAACAUUGCAAAAACAUGGGUCUUAAAGGUUUAGAAGUGAAUUGUUUUUGUGAAGUUUUUCUAUUUUUUUGUGAUUCUGUUACUUAGUUGUUAUGCCAGUUUUUACAUUUUAUUAACAUUUGUUACAAAUCUGUUUUAUUAACAUUUGUUACAAAUCUGAUGGUCCAGUGCUGCAAUUUUUGAAGGCAUGGUGUGAGAUAGAAGAGGACCAUUCUAGGCAUAGAACUAGACAUUUCUGAUAAGGUUAGUGAUGAAGAAUGAGUGUUCUGAGUUUCUUCAGUAUGCCAGUGCAACAAGAGACACAAAUUCUGUCUUUUAGUGCUCAUAAUCCCAUGCCGUGCGGGUUCCUGUAAUUGGAAGUUUUUUCAAGGUUUCCUCCAGGGUAAAACCACUGAAAAGCCUGGAAGAGACGGACACCAAAGAGGGCUGCAUACUAAAUCCAGACUGAGAAUAAAUAUUAAGAGGCUAUGAAAUUCACUUUUGGAGAAGGGUUUAUAAAGUUUUAAGAAGUUCAGUAGUAUUAUAGCUGUUGAGUCUUCCUGCACCAAUGUCUGUGUUUAUUUAAUGGCUAGGAGUAUGGGAAUGUAUUUUUAUCCUCCUAAAAUAGGGGUCCAGACUAGAAGGAUUUGGGAGGGGCAAAAGCUAUAUAGACUGGACCUUGGAAAUGCAGAUGAGGCUGGAACUUCCUUCGAGAUCUUUAGAUACUUAAGAGUGUUAACUCUUAAUAGGUUGAGGUCAUCUUGAAAGGAUGAUAAAAGCAUUUUAAGUUUCAUUUGCAUGAACACGGAGGAUAGGAUUUUGGUGCCUUCAUUGGACUUGCUCCAAGACAAAGAUACUUUUAUUUUGAUAGUGCAAGACUCUGGGACUUUGGGGAUAAAAUUGGCCAUAUGCUUUUAGAACAUCUAACUCUGCAGAGCUGGAUUCCUUUUACUUUGUGAAAGCUGCUACUCUACAGAAAGGUUUUGAUUUAGUAGUUUGUUUUUAAUCUUCUUGUAUUUAUUUGUAUUUGGUAAGACCUGAGUGCGACAAAAGCUAUUCUUCCCCAGCUAUAAAGCACUGUGUUCUGUUGGAAUCUGAAUUCUUUCAUUGAUAGGUUUUCAGGUUUCCCAACUUUAUUGUCACUGACAUUUGAGCAUGUUGUUUUGUAAAUGAUGAGAUUCCAGGGUGGGAAUUGAGUGGUUUCUUUUUUUUCUUUUUCUUUUUUUUUUUUCUUAAGUUAUGUCAGUUAAAAAAAAACUCCAGUAUUGUGGUUUAGUAAACUUGUUUUGCUCUGUGGAGGAAAGAAUGUUAAGCUUAGUAUCUUGAAACCUGUUUAAGGUCACACAUGAUUUCUAAAUGUUGUUUUUACUUGUAUUUUGCUUUUGGUAUGGCCAGAUAUUUAGCUUGUUUUUAUAGUUCCUGAUAUUUUCAGAAAAAUCAAAAUAAAUUUGUUCCCUAAAAAAAAAAAAAAGAAA